UACGUAGGGGGCUAGCGUUGUCCGGAAUCAUUGGGCGUAAAGCGCGUGUAGGCGGGAGGCCAAGUCUGCGGUGAAAUCGCUCGGCUCAACUGGGCGGGGUCCGUGGAAACUGGUCACCUGGAGGACGGUAGAGGCGAGUGGAAUUCCCGGUGUAGUGGUGAAAUGCGUAGAGAUCGGGAGGAACACCAGUGGCGAAGGCGGCUCGCUGGGCCGGACCUGACGCUGAGACGCGAAGGCGUGGGGAGCGAACGGG
rnacentral:rRNA from 1 species